rnacentral:misc_RNA from 1 species
CUGCACAGUUUUGGCUCAGUGGAU